GAAACUGUACUAUUUGAGGGACUGUAUUGGAAACUGUACUAUUUGAGGGGUGACUAUUGGAAACUGUACUAUUUGAGGGACGACUGUAUUGGAAACUGUACUAUUUGAGGGGCGACUGUAUUGGAAACUGUACUAUUUGAGGGACUACUGUAUUGGAAACUGUACUAUUUGAGGGUCGACUGUAUUGGAAACUGUACUAUUUGAGGGUCGACUGUAUUGGAAACUGUACUAUUUGAGGGGCGACUGUAUUGGAAACUGUACUAUUUGAGGGAUGACUGUAUUGGAAACUGUACUAUUUGAGGGAUGACUGUAUUGGAAACUGUACUAUUUGAGGGAUGACUGUAUUGGAAACUGUACUAUUUGAGGGAUGACUGUAUUGGAAACUGUACUAUUUGAGGGAUGACUGUAUUGGAAACUGUACUAUUUGAGGGACUGUAUUGGAAACUGUACUAUUUGAGGGAUGACUGUAUUGGAAACUGUACUAUUUGAGGGUCGACUGUAUUGGAAACUGUACUAUUUGAGGGUCGACUGUAUUGGAAACUGUACUAUUUGAGGGAUGACUGUAUUGGAAACUGUACUAUUUGAGGGACUGUAUUGGAAACUGUACUAUUUGAGGGGCGACUGUAUUGGAAACUGUACUAUUUGAGGGAUGACUGUAUUGGAAACUGUACUAUUUGAGGGAUGACUGUAUUGGAAACUGUACUAUUUGAGGGAUGACUGUAUUGGAAACUGUACUAUUUGAGGGUCGACUGUAUUGGAAACUGUACUAUUUGAGGGGUGACUGUAUUGGAAACUGUACUAUUUGA